GGAAGCGUGGCCGAGUGGUUGAAGGCACUGGUCUUGAAAACCAGCAACGGGGCAACCCGUUCGUGGGUUCGAAUCCCACCGCUUCCGCCA
rnacentral:tRNA from 2 species